rnacentral:tRNA from 1 species
AGUCUUAUGGUGUAAUGGUAACACAUCAGUUUUUGGAGCUGAGUUUCCUGGUUCGAAUCCAGGUAAGACUA